rnacentral:rRNA from 1 species
UGAGGAAUAUUGGGCAAUGGGCGAAAGCCUUACCCAGCAACGCCGCGUGAGGGAAGAAGGUUUUCGGAUUGUAAACCUCUGUCCUGGGGGACGAAGGAAGUGACGGUACCCCGGGAGGAAGCCCCGGCUAACUACGUGCCAGCAGCCGCGGUAAUACGUAGGGGGCGAGCGUUGUCCGGAAUUAUUGGGCGUAAAGGGCGCGUAGACGGCCGAGUAAGUUAUAGGUGAAAGCCCAUCUUUCAAGGAUGGAAUUGCCUGUAAUACUGCCUGGCUUGAGUGCAGGAGAGGGAAGCGGAAUUCCUAGUGUAGCGGUGAAAUGCGUAGAUAUUAGGAGGAACACCAGUGGCGAAGGCGGCUUUCUGGACUGUAACUGACGUUGAGGCGCGAAAGCGUGGGGAGCAAACAGGAUUAGAUACCC